UGGGGAAUCUUGCACAAUGGAGGAAACUCUGAUGCAGCGAUGCCGCGUGAGUGAAGAAGGCCUUUGGGUUGUAAAGCUCUUUUGUAGGGGAAGAUAAUGACUGUACCCUAAGAAUAAGGUCCGGCUAACUUCGUGCCAGCAGCCGCGGUAAUACGAAGGGACCUAGCGUAGUUCGGAAUUACUGGGCGUAAAGCGCGCGUAGGUCGUUGAGUUAGUUAAUUGUGAAAUCCCAAAGCUUAACUUUGGAACUGCAAUUAAAACUGCUCGACUAGAGUUUGAUAGAGGAAAGCGGAAUACAUAGUGUAGAGGUGAAAUUCGUAGAUAUUAUGUAGAACACCAGUUGCGAAGGCGGCUUUCUGGAUCAACACUGACGCUGAGGCGCGAAAGUAUGGGUAGCAAAGAGGAUUAGAUACCCUCGUAGUCCAUACCAUAAACGAUGAUUGCUAGAUGUUGGAAAUUUAUUUUCAGUAUCGCAGCUAACGCAUUAAGCAAUCCGCCUNNNGAGUACGACCGCAAGGUUA
rnacentral:rRNA from 1 species